rnacentral:misc_RNA from 1 species
GGGGAAGGAAUACUCCUCCACGAGACUGGUUCACGUUCUCUUUAGUUUUGCAGAAAACAGCAGGGUAACAGUCAAUGUAGAAGCAAUCAAGUCUGGUUAGUAAAAUUUAGAAGAAAUUGUAGUGAUUGAGAAGUGGAGAAUAUGGCUCAAACUUCUUCAAGACACAUAUUCAGCCUAACAAAGCUGAUUCUCAUAGGGAUAUUGUGUAUCCUAUAAGAUUUUAUUUUUACAGAGAACUGUAUUUUCUAGUAGGACUAGAUAGAACUUUAUGCCUCAAUGUUCUUUUUCUUUUAGUAUAUCCAAG